rnacentral:lncRNA from 1 species
CCCCUCAAGGAGCAGAGCUCGUCAGAGCCUUGUGCAAAGGCGAGCUGGACUCUCUCAGAUAACUGCCUCCGAAGGUGGGCAACUUCAUCGGUUGCCGUCUGGAGCUUCCUUCGGUAGUCCUCUACUUGCCCGCUUCAACUGACUUGGUAGGCGUUGUAGUUCACCUCAGCAUCCUGCAGCUGCUUUUGAAGGUUGGAGAACUUCUUCGACCAGUCUUGGUUGCGAUCGGC